GAUUUUAAAAAUCUCUCGUAUAUCGUCGGAAAUAUGGUCCGAAAGUUUCUACCUACUCACCGUAAAAGAGUAGACUACGGGUGGUAAUCGU
rnacentral:ncRNA from 1 species